CCUUUAAAGUAUAGGCGCAAGAAAUCAGAUUUGGCGAAGACAAAUUAGGUUGGAACUUGGGAAGUGAAUCGUUCUCCUGGAGUUUUGCCUUCUGCUACUCUCAUAGUUCGAUGGCGGAAUCAGAGAUUCCAAGUAUAACGUCUCUCUUUCUAUUCUAAAUCUAAACCUUAUGUUCCUCUGCGAUUGUGUAAAGGUUCUGGUAAGUUGAUUGCUUGGAAAAAGGGUGCAAUCUGUUCAUUCAGUUUUAUUGUUUAAAGAAAGGAAGCACUUAGUUUAAUAUGGAACUUUGAGAAUAAGUCAGAUGAGACUACAAGAGCUACUAGGGACGUGAAUGCGCAAAGAAACAACCCAACUAUAACAUGAACCUUUUUUAUUGGUACAUUUAUCGUUUUACCCUUUUACUAUAGGUGUUGUUUAUAUUUAGUAUGUUAAUCCCACCGUCUCACAUAUGAGUUUACAUUUGAUCUUAUUUUUAAAUGUCAAAUGGUGUUUCAGUAGUCAUUUUAAAGCCUAGAUAAAAGAUAUCCUGGUGCUUCAAUAGUCGUUUUAAAGCCUAGAUAAAAGAUAUCAUUUUUAAUAAUGAAAACUAGAAAAGCCCCAAAUUUUCGUUUCGCUUUAGGCCUCUAAGAAGGUUGAGCCGGCCUUGCACAUGAGGGUAGGUUAGUAAUUUUACCUAUUAUAUUUAAAAUACAUAUUAUUUUACCAAUCAUUCACAUCCACAGAACCAAAUCUUAUCCCCUUUCUUUAUCUCCUCUCCCAUGUCUCUCUCUCUAGAAAACAGCCGUCCACCACCCUUGGUGGUGGAGCCACAGCUGAAGCGCCAACCACCACCACCACCCCAUCCUUCGACACCCACCCACCACCACCUACAACCCCACUUCUUUUGGUCCACCCUCUUUCCACCUCCCUCCUAAUCUCCCCAACCUCCAACCUGAACACCCCCUUCCAGAUUCCCAGAAUCUAAAAACACAAAACUUAUCAAAAACCCAAAACACAAAACUUAUCAAAAACCUAGGACCAAUAAACAACAGUUUCCUCCAUGAAUCGACGGUGUUCGAUUGACAAACUUUGAAGAUUCCGAGAAGGAAAGCGAGUGCGAAAGGUUUGUUUGUCCGAUCAACUUCUGGGAUUUAUAGAUCUGUGCUUCUUUAGCUGUUCGUUCGAUCGGAUUGUUGUUUUUCAGUUUUGAUCUUGAUCUACGAUUCGUUGUUUUUUAAUUAGAUGGUGCCUCUGUUGUUAUGAAAUUGUAAUUAAAUGUAAUUACAAUUUUCGUAAUUGUGGAAUUAAAUUCUCUGAAUUCACCGAUUCUGCUAUUUUGAUUCUCUGAAUUUUCCUUUUUUAGUCUCUUUAAUAUUGAGUAUUUAAUGUAAUUUAAAUUUUGAUUGUGGGCAAGUUUGAUGUGAUUUACAAUCUAGUUCUGGAGAUAUACAUUAAAGAUUGAAGAUGCUAACAAAUAAACAGGUCUCAAAUAAUUAAAGGGCUGGAGAUAUACAUUAAUGUUUUUUUUUUUGUAAUUUAAAUAGAUUGGGGUAAAAAGACAUAAAUACCCUCAUGUGCAAGGCACAUGCCAUGUUUAACUGAAAAUUUUAGCCUAGUUAGUGCUAAACGACGUAUAGUGUAAUGAGUUUUACAAAUAAAGGACUGUGACUGUAAUUAUUAAAGUUAAAGGAUAUCCACUGCAAUCCGAUAUAAACAUAAAGGACGAAAAGUGUAAUUUACCCUUUUUUUCAAGUAUUCUUGAUGUAUAUUUCUUCUAGUAACAAAUAACUAUUAAUUAUACAAGACUUGAGAAAGAGUUAAGAGUCUCGAUUAAUUAGAGACUUAACAAUCUAAUAAAAACUAAUCAAAUAUCAUCAAUCAAACUCUACUAAAAAAUUUUAUCAUACAAAGAGUUUAAUAUUAUUAAUUUCAAUAAAUUAAUAUCCAACAGCAUAUGCAUUAAUACGUAUAUUUCUUGAGUAGUUCUUUUUGGUCUUUAUCUCAUGUUUGUUAUCUAUUCCUUAAUUUUUUUUUUUCAUUUUUUGGGUCCUGCUACGCGGUAAACAAAUAGAGUAUAUUAUGUUAUUUUUUUUAGUUCUUUUUGGUUUUUAUCUCCUCUUUGUUAUCUAUUCCUUUUUUUUUCUUACCGUUAUGUGGUUCUCUUCUUCAAAGUUUGUUUUUUAUAACCAAAUCUAUUUAAAAAAAAAUUAUAGCAUUUUAACAUAUCUUUUUCAUGCGGUGUUUCUCUUCUUCCAAGUUUGUUUUUAUAGGUACAGGAUCAUGAGAAAACGCCUAAAAGUGUGAGAACGGUGAGAACGCAUCCUGGCCCAACAUGUGGCGCGGGAUAUGAUCAAGGCGUGAGGGGUUUUUUUUGUCUUUUCAAUCUUCUUUUAUUUUCCCAACACGCUAUAACAUUUUCUAGCGUCUAAGAUUAUUUUUGGCGUUAAUUGUAUUCAUUAAACUUUUUGGCGUUGAAUUAAUUGUUUUUGUGUCA